UAGGGAAAAUGGCGACUAGAUCGGUUCUCAGAUUUUCGGGAUCGAUCAAUCAUCUCCUAGGGCCCUUGUUAAGUCGACGAAGCCCAGCACUAACAUGCUCGGUCAAUCUAAAGACAAAAGCCUUUGAAACAGAGAAUGAAAGGCAAAAGAGCUUGGUACCCUACAGAACGCAGAGCACAGAUGCCAGAGCUCAGGUGGUGCAGCCGGGUCCACGGGAGCCAUACUCCCCCCAUCAGCACCCUGAGAACAACAUGGACUUUGUCAUGGCCAGGGCUGAUGAUCUGUUGAACUGGGGAAGGAGGACUUCAAUAUGGCCCAUGACAUUCGGUCUUGCAUGCUGUGCUGUGGAAAUGAUGCAUUUUGCUGCCCCCCUACAGCAGAGGCUCUCCUCUACGCCUUUCUACAGUUACAGAAAAAGAUCAAGAGGAUGAAAGCAUGCCAGAAUUGGUACCGCCGUAAUUACUACAACCCCAAGAAGAGAGGCAUGUUAAUCGAGCCAAAGGACGUCCCUUUCCAGAAGUUAUUUAAUCUAGUGAAGAUGAAGGCACAGCCCAAACCUUUGGAUUAGAUAAACAAACAAUAUUUUUCAGAUACUGGUUGAUCAUACAUCUUGGAUCUGUAUUUGACAAUUGGACAGAGAAAGUGACAUCCAGAAUACAUGUAUGCGAUUUAAAUCGACUGUUAUUGCACUUAAAUGUGUUAUUAAAAAAAAAAUUGAG
rnacentral:misc_RNA from 1 species